GGCAGCGCGGUGGGAGCCGGGGUCUGAGGACGCGUGUGUGUGCCUGACCCCCAACUCCUGUUUUCCAGGCGGGAGCUAUUCAGGAACAUGAUGGGUGUGGUCCUGACCCCCCUGCCCGGCCCCCCAUCGGCCAGGCGGGGCUGGAGGCGCACAGCCCAGACCUUCGGGUCGGCAGAGCUUCUGCCGAAGUGACUGCCGUCCCCGGCCGACGCUCACCUCUGCUCUGGGAUUCGGAGCAGCUGAAGGAGCAGCAACGUCUUCCCUGUAGGAACCCCUCCGUUCCUUCAGCCGCCUGCUAGCAGCUCUGAUCGGUGCUGACAGGCGGGAAGCGAAAGCCCAGCGCCUGCGUUCGGCCCGGUGGCCCCCUCCCUCAAGCCUGAGGCUUCUGUGUUUCAGCCUCGCCGUCUCCUCCUCCCGACGUGAAUGCCCUGGACUCUCGGAAGGAAGGAAGAGAAAUACGGAGGGACGGGUUGUCUGUGUGUGUGUGUGUGUGUGACAGGGGCAGACCGAGACCUGGGCACGGGCUGCUGCUGACAGCACACACGGGAGCUGAGGAGGGGCAGCCGUGGGCAGAGGCCUCCACGUUCUCUUGGUCGUUACCCGAGAUGCUGGGUGUAAUGACGUUCUGGGUGGGAGAGGAGGAAGAGGAGACUAAAACACUCGCAGCGGCCGUUUAUGGAGCACCUGCUGGUCUCUGGGCAGCUUGGUGACUUACCCUCUAUGAGCUUGCAGUCCAACAUGGAAGGGGGCAACUAAAGACACACGACAUGUGGGACAGAGACGCUGCCGUGAAACUGGUGACGUGUUCUUGGUGCAGUGGAGAUGGGAUGUGGUCCUGGCUCAGGGCUCUCCACAUCAGGUUCCAUCCAGUACUGCUUGCAUGCUGGUGCCCACCUGGCGGAACCUGGAGGGGGCUUUCCAUGGCUCAGCUGCAAGGGCCAGAAAAGAGGUCCCCGGUGGGCCAUCAGGUUGCUGGAAACCCACCUUGAGAAGUGGCUUUUGCCUAUCGAUGUGACAGUCCACCUGGACGCCUGUGGUCACCCGCACACCACCUGGCAGAACUCCACGUCUGCUACACGGGAAGGCCCAGCAGAUCCCCAAUUUGAAACCACCUUAAAGCUCCUAGCAUUUUUCGAGGGGCACUGGGAUGCCCACAUUCCAGAUUAAGGGCUCAGGGGAAGGAUGAGCGGACUCGGGAACACCACCAGAGAUGCUGGGACGACCCGUCCUAAUGACCUUUCUCCUUGUUCCCUAGUGAACCGCUAUCAUCUUAUGAAUUUCAGCAGACUCGCUUGCGGUAGACCGGGCUUAAGAAGCCUUCAGCAAUGGAAAGUGGACAUGCUAACUUCACACCUGGGCCCACAGAGGUGCACGGAGGAAAGGAAGCUGCCCGGGCUGCAUCGCGUGACCACUGGUCCUCCUGCAGCAGGCCCAGGGAGCCGGGACACGACGGCGGUCGGGGCCUCCUGAGGCUGAAGGCCACAACCCUAUUCAUUCACCGCAGUGCUCGUAGCCAAGAUGAGCAACGGGGGGAUCCGUCUUUCACUGCACAUGGAAAAGGCUCUGGCAGCAGCGUCUUCCAGGCUGACCGCUUGUCCCGUGGUCGGCACCACCACUAGCGUCACCACCAUCUCCACUGUCCAUUUGGUCAGUGGUGUACAAUUUCACAUUCGGCAGGAGAACAGACUGUGUCUCGCUCGUUAAAUCAGCCCCUUCACCUGGUACAGUGUUCAGUACGUGCUAGCUGCCAA